GAUGAACGCUGGCGGCGUGCCUAAUACAUGCAAGUCGAGCGAACAGACGAGGAGCUUGUUCCUCUGACGUUAGCGGCGGACGGGUGAGUAACACGUGGAUAAUCUACCUAUAAGAGUGGGAUAACUUCGGGAAACGGGAGCUAAUACCGGAUAAUAUCUUGAACCACAUGGUUCAAUAGUGAAAGACGGUUUUGCUGUCACUUAUAGAUGGAUCCCCGCCGCAUGAGCUAGUUGUUAAGUAAACGGCCUACCAAGGCAACGAUGCGUAUCCGACCUGAGAGGGUGAUCGGCCACACGGGAACUGGAACACGGUCCAGACUCCUACGGGAGGCACCAGUAGGGAAUCUUCGGCAGUGGGCGAAAGCCUGACGGAGCAACGCGGCGUGAGUGAUGAAGGUCUUCGGAUCGUAAAACUCGGUUAUUGGGGAAGAACAAAUGUGUAAGGAACUGUGCACGUAUUGACGGUAACUAAUCAGAAAGCCACGGCUAACUACGUG
rnacentral:rRNA from 1 species